rnacentral:rRNA from 1 species
GUUUCCCUACGGGGGGCAGCAGUGGGGAAUAUUGCACAAUGGGAGAGAUCCUGGACCAGCCAAGCCGCGUGAGGGAAGACGGCCCUAUGGGUUGUAAACCUCUUUUGUCGGAGAACAAAACCCGGGACGAGUCCCGGACUGCGUGUAUCCGAAGAAAAAGCAUCGGCUAACUCCGUGCCAGCAGCCGCGGUAAUACGGAGGAUGCGAGCGUUAUCCGGAUUUAUUGGGUUUAAAGGGUGCGUAGGCGGUCUGUUAAGUCAGCGGUAAAAUUGCGGGGCUCAACCCCGUCGAGCCGUUGAAACUGG